rnacentral:rRNA from 1 species
GUGAUUGUUGUGGAUCGAGCGGCGGACGGGUGAGUAACACGUGGGUAACCUACCUUCAAGAUCGGGAUAACUUCGGGAAACCGGGGCUAAUACCGAAUAAUUUAUCGGACCGCAUGGUCCGAUAGUAAAAGGCGGCUUCGGCCGUCACUUGGAGAUGGACCCGCGGCGCAUUAGCUAGUUGGUAAGGUAACGGCUUACCAAGGCAACGAUGCGUAGCCGACCUGAGAGGGUGAUCGGCCACACUGGGACUGAGACACGGCCCAGACUCCUACGGGAGGCAGCAGUAGGGAAUCUUCCGCAAUGGACGAAAGUCUGACGGAGCAACGCCGCGUGAACGAUGAAGGUCUUCGGAUCGUAAAGUUCUGUUGUUAGGGAAGAACAAGUGCCAGAGGAAAUGCUGGCACCUUGACGGUACCUAACCAGAAAGCCCCGGCUAACUACGUGCCAGCAGCCGCGGUAAUACGUAGGGGGCAAGCGUUGUCCGGAAUUAUUGGGCGUAAAGCGCGCGCAGGCGGUUCCUUAAGUCUGAUGUG